rnacentral:rRNA from 1 species
UACGUAGGGUGCAAGCGUUUAAUCGGAAUUACUGGGCGUAAAGGGCGCGCAGGCGGUCCUUCAAGUCAGAUGUGAAAGCCCCGGGCUCAACCUGGGAACUGCAUUUGAGACUGGAGGACUUUGAGGACGGGAGAGGAGAGUGGAAUUCCCAGUGUAGAGGUGAAAUUCGUAGAUAUUGGGAAGAACACCGGAUGGCGAAGGCGCAGUCUCGAUGCCGUACUGACGCUGAGGCGCGAAAGCGUGGGGAGCAAACAGGGAU